rnacentral:rRNA from 1 species
GGUAGUGCAAUAAAUACUGAUACGGGGCUCUUUUGGGUCUCGUAAUUGGAAUGAGAACAAUUUAAAUCCCUUAACGAGGAACAAUUGGAGGGCAAGUCUGGUGCCAGCAGCCGCGGUAAUUCCAGCUCCAAUAGCGUAUAUUAAAGUUGUUGCAGUUAAAAAGCUCGUAGUUGAACCUUGGGUCUGGCUGGCCGGUCCGCCUCACCGCGAGUACUGGUCCGGCUGGACCUUUCCUUCUGGGGAACCUCAUGGCCUUCACUGGCUGUGGGGGGAACCAGGACUUUUACUGUGAAAAAAUUAGAGUGUUCAAAGCAGGCCUUUGCUCGAAUACAUUAGCAUGGAAUAAUAGAAUAGGACGUGUGGUUCUAUUUUGUUGGUUUCUAGGACCGCCGUAAUGAUUAAUAGGGAUAGUCGGGGGCGUCAGUAUUCAGCUGUCAGAGGUGAAAUUCUUGGAUUUGCUGAAGACUAACUACUGCGAAAGCAUUCGCCAAGGAUGUUUUCAUUAAUCAGGGAACGAAAGUUAGGGGAUCGAAGACGAUCAGAUACCGUCGUAGUCUUAACCAUAAACUAUGCCGACUAGGGAUCGGACGGGAUUCUAUAAUGACCCGUUCGGCACCUUACGAGAAAUCAAAGUUUUUGGGUUCUGGGGGGAGUAUGGUCGCAAGGCUGAAACUUAAAGAAAUUGACGGAAGGGCACCACCAGGAGUGGAACCUGCGGCUUAAUUUGACUCAACACGGGGAAACUUACCAGGUCCAGACACAAUGAGGAUUGACAGAUUGAGAG